rnacentral:rRNA from 1 species
UACGUAGGGUGCAAGCGUUAUCCGGAAUUAUUGGGCGUAAAGAGCUCGUAGGCGGUUUGUCGCGUCUGCUGUGAAAACUGGGGGCUCAACCCCCAGCCUGCAGUGGGUACGGGCAGGCUAGAGUGCGGUAGGGGAGAUUGGAAUUCCUGGUGUAGCGGUGGAAUGCGCAGAUAUCAGGAGGAACACCGGUGGCGAAGGCGGGUCUCUGGGCCGUUACUGACGCUGAGGAGCGAAAGCGUGGGGAGCGAACAGG